rnacentral:rRNA from 1 species
GAUGAACGCUGGCGGCGUGCCUAAUACAUGCAAGUCGAGCGAACAGACGAGGAGCUUGCUCCUUCGACGUUAGCGGCGGACGGGUGAGUAACACGUAGGUAACCUACCUAUAAGACUGGGAUAACUUCGGGAAACCGGAGCUAAUACCGGAUAAUAUUUCGAACCGCAUGGUUCGAUAGUGAAAGAUGGCUUUGCUAUCACUUAUAGAUGGACCUGCGCCGUAUUAGCUAGUUGGUAAGGUAACGGCUUACCAAGGCAACGAUACGUAGCCGACCUGAGAGGGUGAUCGGCCACAUGGGAACUGAGACACGGUCCAGACUCCUACGGGAGGCAGCAGUAGGGAAUCUUCCGCGAGGGGGGAAAGCCUGACGGAGCAACGCCGCGUGAGUGAUGAAGGUCUUCGGAUCGGAAAACUAUGUUAUUAGGGAAGAACAAACGUGUAAGUAACUGUGCACGUCUUGACGGUACCUAAUCAGAAAGCCACGGCUAACUACGUG